CCAGCACCCCGAGUGGUCGGGACGAUUAUUGGGCCUAAAGCAUCCGUAGCCGGUUUUACAAGUCCUCCGUUAAAUCCAACUGCUUAACAGAUGGGCCGCGGAGGAUACUAUAAGACUAGGAGGCAGGAGAGGCAAGCGGUACUCAGUGGGUAGGGGUAAAAUCCGUUGAUCCAUUGAAGACCACCAGUGGCGAAGGCGGCUUGCCAGAAUGCGCUCGACGGUGAGGGAUGAAAGCUGGGGGAGCAAACCGGAUUAGAUACCCGGGUAGUCCCAGCUGUAAACGAUGCAGACUCGGUGAUGGACUAGCUUUAUGCUAGUCCAGUGCCGCAGGGAAGCCGUUAAGUCUGCCGCCUGGGUAGUACGGCGCAAGACUG
rnacentral:rRNA from 1 species